rnacentral:rRNA from 1 species
GACGAACGCUGGCGGCGUGCUUAACACAUGCAAGUCGAGCGAUGAAGUUCCUUCGGGAAUGGAUUAGCGGCGGACGGGUGAGUAACACGUGGGUAACCUGCCUCAUAGAGGGGAAUAGCCUUCCGAAAGGAAGGUUAAUACCGCAUAAGAUUGUAGUGCCGCAUGGCAUAGCAAUUAAAGGAGUAAUCCGCUAUGAGAUGGACCCGCGUCGCAUUAGCUAGUUGGUGAGGUAACGGCUCACCAAGGCGACGAUGCGUAGCCGACCUGAGAGGGUGAUCGGCCACAUUGGGACUGAGACACGGCCCAGACUCCUACGGGAGGCAGCAGUGGGGAAUACUGCACAAUGGGGGAAACCCUGAUGCAGCAACGCCGCGUGAGUGAUGAAGGUCUUCGGAUUGUAAAGCUCUGUCUUCAGGGACGAUAAUGACGGUACCUGAGGAGGAAGCCACGGCUAACUACGUGCCAGCCGCCGCAGUAA